rnacentral:rRNA from 1 species
GACGAACGCUGGCGGCGCGCUUAACACAUGCAAGUCGAGCGAAGCGGCGGACGGGUGAGUAACACGUGAGUAACCUGCCUUAGACAUUGGGAUAGCCUCGGGAAACCGGGAUUAAUACCAAAUGGUCUAAGAUGGACUCGCGUCCCAUUAGCUAGUUGGUGGGUAACGGCCCACCAAGGCGACGAGGGGUAGCCGGCAGGAUAGGCUGAACGGCCACAUUGGAACAGAGAAACGGUCCAAACUCUACGGGAGGGAGCAGUGGGGAAUAUUGCACAACGGAGGGAAAUCUGAUGCAGCUACGCCGCGUGAACGAAGGAGGCUUUCGAGACGUAAAGUGCUAUUAGAUGGGAAGCGGUACCAUAAGAAAAAGCCACGGCUAACUACGUGCCAGCAGCCGCGGUAAUUC